CCCUUCUCAGGGUCACACCUGGAGAGUUCCCAGUAUUAUACCAGUCUCGACUACAGGAGGGAGAGUUAGGCAGAGGCAUAUCCAUUCCAUUCCUGGCUUGGGCAGUGGCUAGUGAGUGGAAGGCAAUCUGCUACAAGU
rnacentral:snoRNA from 1 species